ACCGGGAGAUAGCUGGUUCUCCCCGAAAGCUAUUUAGGUAGCGCCUCGUGAAUUCAUCUCCGGGGGUAGAGCACUGUUUCGGCAAGGGGGUCAUCCCGACUUACCAACCCGAUGCAAACUGCGAAUACCGGAGAAUGUUAUCACGGGAGACACACGGCGGGUGCUAACGUCCGUCGUGAAGAGGGAAACAACCCAGACCGCCAGCUAAGGUCCCAAAGUCAUGGUUAAGUGGGAAACGAUGUGGGAAGGCCCAGACAGCCAGGAUGUUGGCUUAGAAGCAGCCAUCAUUUAAAGAAAGCGUAAUAGCUCACUGGUCGAGUCGGCCUGCGCGGAAGAUGUAACGGGGCUAAACCAUGCACCGAAGCUGCGGCAGCGACGCUUAUGCGUUGUUGGGUAGGGGAGCGUUCUGUAAGCCUGUGAAGGUGUGCUGUGAGGCAUGCUGGAGGUAUCAGAAGUGCGAAUGCUGACAUAAGUAACGAUAAAGCGGGUGAAAAGCCCGCUCGCCGGAAGACCAAGGGUUCCUGUCCAACGUUAAUCGGGGCAGGGUGAGUCGACCCCUAAGGCGAGGCCGAAAGGCGUAGUCGAUGGGAAACAGGUUAAUAUUCCUGUACUUGGUGUUACUGCGAAGGGGGGACGGAGAAGGCUAUGUUGGCCGGGCGACGGUUGUCCCGGUUUAAGCGUGUAGGCUGGUUUUCCAGGCAAAUCCGGAAAAUCAAGGCUGAGGCGUGAUGACGAGGCACUACGGUGCUGAAGCAACAAAUGCCCUGCUUCCAGGAAAAGCCUCUAAGCAUCAGGUAACAUCAAAUCGUACCCCAAACCGACACAGGUGGUCAGGUAGAGAAUACCAAGGCGCUUGAGAGAACUCGGGUGAAGGAACUAGGCAAAAUGGUGCCGUAACUUCGGGAGAAGGCACGCUGAUAUGUAGGUGAGGUCCCUCGCGGAUGGAGCUGAAAUCAGUCGAAGAUACCAGCUGGCUGCAACUGUUUAUUAAAAACACAGCACUGUGCAAACACGAAAGUGGACGUAUACGGUGUGACGCCUGCCCGGUGCCGGAAGGUUAAUUGAUGGGGUUAGCGGUAACGCGAAGCUCUUGAUCGAAGCCCCGGUAAACGGCGGCCGUAACUAUAACGGUCCUAAGGUAGCGAAAUUCCUUGUCGGGUAAGUUCCGACCUGCACGAAUGGCGUAAUGAUGGCCAGGCUGUCUCCACCCGAGACUCAGUGAAAUUGAACUCGCUGUGAAGAUGCAGUGUACCCGCGGCAAGACGGAAAGACCCCGUGAACCUUUACUAUAGCUUGACACUGAACAUUGAGCCUUGAUGUGUAGGAUAGGUGGGAGGCUUUGAAGUGUGGACGCCAGUCUGCAUGGAGCCGACCUUGAAAUACCACCCUUUAAUGUUUGAUGUUCUAACGUUGACCCGUAAUCCGGGUUGCGGACAGUGUCUGGUGGGUAGUUUGACUGGGGCGGUCUCCUCCUAAAGAGUAACGGAGGAGCACGAAGGUUGGCUAAUCCUGGUCGGACAUCAGGAGGUUAGUGCAAUGGCAUAAGCCAGCUUGACUGCGAGCGUGACGGCGCGAGCAGGUGCGAAAGCAGGUCAUAGUGAUCCGGUGGUUCUGAAUGGAAGGGCCAUCGCUCAACGGAUAAAAGGUACUCCGGGGAUAACAGGCUGAUACCGCCCAAGAGUUCAUAUCGACGGCGGUGUUUGGCACCUCGAUGUCGGCUCAUCACAUCCUGGGGCUGAAGUAGGUCCCAAGGGUAUGGCUGUUCGCCAUUUAAAGUGGUACGCGAGCUGGGUUUAGAACGUCGUGAGACAGUUCGGUCCCUAUCUGCCGUGGGCGCUGGAGAACUGAGGGGGGCUGCUCCUAGUACGAGAGGACCGGAGUGGACGCAUCACUGGUGUUCGGGUUGUCAUGCCAAUGGCACUGCCCGGUAGCUAAAUGCGGAAGAGAUAAGUGCUGAAAGCAUCUAAGCACGAAACUUGCC
rnacentral:rRNA from 1 species